rnacentral:rRNA from 1 species
CUACGGAGGGUGCAAGCGUUAUUCGGAAUCACUGGGCGUAAAGGACGCGUAGGCGGGUUGGCAAGUCAGAUGUGAAAUCCUACAGCUUAACUGUAGAACUGCAUUUGAAACUGCUAACCUAGAGUAUGGGAGGGGGAGAUGGAAUUAGUGGUGUAGGGGUAAAAUCCGUAGAUAUCACUAGGAAUACCGAAAGCGAAGGCGAUCUCCUGGAACAUAACUGACGCUAAGGCGUGAAAGCGGGGGGAGCAAACAGGAUUAGAAACCCUAGUAGUCC